rnacentral:misc_RNA from 1 species
GGGAGAGAGGCAGCUAAACAGAGAAUGGACAAAGACGUCAUCAAGAGCAAGAUACAGACUUGAUGAUUGUUCUUAUAAGCUUAUAAGGGUAACUUGCUGACUAACCGAUGUGUAGAAUUUCAAAGAGAAAAGUAGUCAAACAAAUGAAAUUAUUCAUACUCAUCAAUUACCUCAAAAUUUUUCGAGUACUUUAUGUACUUAAGUGAAUUCAACUGCUGUGACAAAAAUGAUGGAGGAGAUUUUUAUUGAUGUAAUGAUUUAGCAUAGUUAUUCUUAUGUUGGACUGUAAAUAAGUGAUAUCCUUGAGUUGGAAUCAAUGUAGAGAAGUGAGAUUUAUCAAUUAACCAAAUAAUUCACAGAAAUACCAGUAUUUGCAGCUUCUUUGUUGUAAAAUGGUUCUUGCAAUUGAAAAAUAAACCCAAGCAGCUUGUGAAUCUCCAAGCAAUUAUUGUUUUGUUCAGAGAUGUUGUUUGCUGGUUAACAUGACUUUAUAUGGUAAUUUCUAGUGAGAAAUUCGUGUUCUCUAUCAGUGCAAGCACAAAUUUCUUCAUUUAUGAAUUUAUUCCUUCUUAAUUGGUCUACACAUUGACAUUGUUUUGAACAUUUAUUAUAUAUAUACUGUUUUUUUUAUUAUUGCUGAAAUGGCUUUAACAAUGCCCUGUAGUUUUUACAUGCUCCAAAAAUAUUCUUCCAAUGUGUUCAAAACAUGUUUCUAUUUUUCAUUUCCCAUUUUUUAUAUGGAUGUCUAUCAACAAUUAUUUUUGAAUAUUUCAGGAUGAUCUUAUUUUUUAAACUCAAAAUUUGCAAUAUGUACAUAUUUUGCAUGAUUGAAUUCUUGCAUGUUUACAGAUUUGAUUUGACACACUCAGAAUGUAACAUGGCUCUAUUUUUUUUUUUUCAUUAGGCAUGUGUAUUGUUUUUUCAUGUCACAAGUUUUGGUGUUUUAGAUUUUUUUAUGAACAUUUUUCAAAAUGAAUCUCAAAUCAAAUCUUUUGAUUAAUUUUGAAUAAUAGAUAAAAGCGUUUGUUUAUUUAACUAAAUACAUUAAAUAUUAGCCAUGAAAGGUUUCAUCGUGUAAUUAAGAAGUCAUCAUUUCUAUUAAAGUUAUUUUCUUUAUCAAAGUCAAAAUGUUUCACCUGCUAAGCUCUUCUGUUGACCAAGUACAUUUUUUUAUAAUCUAAAUGUGUUCUCUUCAAACACACAGUUUUCUAUUCUAUUUUUUUGAUUGUGUGUAGAUUUCUGGAACUGUUGAGGAGAUAUUGGUAGCAUAAAUGUGAUAUCUGGCAAUUUAGUUGUGUUUCACACAUUUAUAUCGUAGAUUUUAUAUUAUUUAUACUUAAUUAUCCGGUAAUAGCAUAUUUUGUUUUUUUUCUUUGAAUAAAGAAUCUGUUUAU